CGGGAUAGAGUCUUGCGCUGUUGCCCAGGCUAGAGUGCAGUGGCGCAAUCUUGGCUCACUGCAACCUCCACCUCCUGGGUGCAAGCAAUUCUCCUGCCUCAGCCACCCAAGUAGCUGGGACUACAGGCAUGCGCCACCACAUCUGGCUAAUUUUUGUAUUUUUAGUAGAGACAUGGUUUCAACAUGUUGGCCAGGCUGGUCUCGAAUGCCUGGCCUCAAGUGAUCCAACCACCUUGGCCUCCCAGAGUGCUGAGAUUAUAGGCAUGAGCCACUGUUGUGCCCGGCCUGGACUGUGCAUUUCUUCUUCUUCUUCUUCUUCUUUUUUUUUUUUUUUUUGAGACAGAGUUUCAUUCUUGUUGCCCAGGCUGGAGUGCAAUGGCACAAUCAUGGCUCACCGCAACCUCUGCCUCCCAGGUUCAAGCAAUUCUCCUGCUUCAGCCUCCCAAGUAGCUGGGAUUACAGGCAUGCGC
rnacentral:lncRNA from 1 species